GGAAAGACCCCGUGAACCUUUACUAUAGCUUGACACUGAACAUUGAGCCUUGAUGUGUAGGAUAGGUGGGAGGCUUUGAAGCGUGGACGCCAGUCUGCGUGGAGCCGACCUUGAAAUACCACCCUUUAAUGUUUGAUGUUCUAACGUGGAUCCGUAAUCCGGGUUGCGGACAGUGUCUGGUGGGUAGUUUGACUGGGGCGGUCUCCUCCUAAAGAGUAACGGAGGAGCACGAAGGUUGGCUAAUCCUGGUCGGACAUCAGGAGGUUAGUGCAAUGGCAUAAGCCAGCUUGACUGCGAGCGUGACGGCGCGAGCAGGUGCGAAAGCAGGUCAUAGUGAUCCGGUGGUUCUGAAUGGAAGGGCCAUCGCUCAACGGAUAAAAGGUACUCCGGGGAUAACAGGCUGAUACCGCCCAAGAGUUCAUAUCGACGGCGGUGUUUGGCACCUCGAUGUCGGCUCAUCACAUCCUGGGGCUGAAGUAGGUCCCAAGGGUAUGGCUGUUCGCCAUUUAAAGUGGUACGCGAGCUGGGUUUAGAACGUCGUGAGACAGUUCGGUCCCUAUCUGCCGUGGGCGCUGGAGAACUGAGGGGGGCUGCUCCUAGUACGAGAGGACCGGAGUGGACGCAUCACUGGUGUUCGGGUUGUCAUGCCAAUGGCACUGCCCGGUAGCUAAAUGCGGAAGAGAUAAGUGCUGAAAGCAUCUAAGCACGAAACUUGCCCCGA
rnacentral:rRNA from 1 species